rnacentral:tRNA from 1 species
CGGCCGAUCGGGCCGGACGGCAAGCCCGUGGGCUUUCAGGAAGCCCUCUCGCCGCUCGAUCAGGCGUCGGCCGCCC